AAUGAGGUAAUGAAGAAGAAAGAGGAAGACAAAGGGAAAAGUCUUGAUAUUCUAAAGAUGUCUAAACUUAACCAGCAUGCUCAUCCUACUUCAUAUCAGGGAACUACCAUUGACUCAUAAUCCAGAUCCUGAAGUACUUCCAGUAAUACAAAGACUUUGCACCCUGUGUUUGGCUUCUGUGGGAAUGGUCUGUGGUUUUCUGAAGACAAGACUCUCACCCUAUCUCAUGGUCUGAAACCACACUUCACAGUGAAUAAGCUGACUGCAUGAGAAAAAUCUGAAUCUGGGGAAGGCUCAGAAGCCUUGGCUGAGGAUCAGGAUCAUUCUGUGAGUGAGGAUUGUUUCAAUUCAUAUCCUAUCUCGAGCAAAAGGCUUUGUCUGAAGUUAUCAUGAAGUCACUAGCUGAAACUGCCAGAGGAUUUUUUUUGGACCUGAACUUCUCAGUAGUGGAAAUAGCUCCUGACCGCUGAAUCACAGCAGUACAAGAGCAGAGCAGUUUUACUGUCUUAUCUCCUCUGCAGGCAAACAUUCUUUCUCCUACAGAUCACCACAAGGCACUGCUCCAACUACACGAGGUGCUGCAGAGGCUGGGCAGGCAGCUCAUGGCACUCAUCUCAUGGUUCCUGUGCUCCCCUGCAGCAAGAGCCAGGCAGCACCAGCGUUUCCAGGUGCGGGAGUCCCACCACGGAGGGGAGAGAAGCUCUGCGAUUUUCAGCAGGGCCCCAGCCCAGAG